CUGGCUCAGGGCGAACGCUGGCGGCGUGCUUAACACAUGCAAGUCGAACGAGGAGGCUCUCUUCGGAGAGUAGUACUAGUGGCGAACGGGUGAGUAACGCGUAGGAAAGUAUCCUCCAGACUGGGACA
rnacentral:rRNA from 1 species